CAACCGUGGGUUUUGCUGAUUUUGGUAUUCACAAAGGUGGUUUCAAAUGAAACCAUGGUUUCAACCGUGGGUUUUCGGCAUGAUUUUGAGUCAACUGUUUUAGGUGGUUUCAAACCGUGGGUUUUAGGAAAACCAUGGUUUUUAGGCAGAUUGACCAAUCACAGAACAGUAUUUCGGUACAUUGCUGAGCUACUGCUGAGCAAGUGCAUAGACGACGAUAAAUAGCUUUGCACGAAAUGAAGAGGAGCAAAGCGUUUAAUAUCGGUAUUUGCCGAGCCGUGAGAACAUCUAAAUUUUUGAAUGGAUGAAAACAUCUUACAACAUGCACAGGCUGUCCUGAGAGACUAUUAAAUGAGGAUUGUUAGAGAGGAAUAUGCCAACAAGAACUGCAAUUAGGAGUCGUUGACAGGAGGAAACUUUUUAAAAGAGACCACACACUACCUCAUCAACAUGCUUGAAGAUGAUCUGAGCCUGAAGAGGGACAAAGGGCCUCGUGAUAGACUACCUUUCUCUCUGCAAGUAUUGACAAUUCUGCUUUUGUAUGCUGAUAAUUUCAGGGAAUACAUGGUGAUGAGGCAUCAGUGUUGCAAUCAUCUGUUUGUGAGUGAUCAAAGAUGUUUCACAAGCCAUAGCAAGAAGAAAGAGGUUUUGUGAGAACUUCAACAACAAGAGAUGAGAUUGAGGCUACCCAACAACAACUGUGUGAGUGAUCGAUGGGACCCAUGUCUAUAGAGGAAUUCCUGAAACAAGCCUUGUACUUUCCUGAAGGGCAAGUCCACCCCAACAAAAAGUUUCUUUGAUAUAAUAGAGAAAAGUCCAAUGAGCAUAACACUGAAAAUUUCAUCAGAAUUUGAUGUAAAAUGAGAAAGUUUUGACAUUUUGAAGUUUCGCUUAUUUUCACAAAACAGAUAUAUGCACAUCCGGGUCAGUAUGCAAAUGAGUGACAAAGUGACGUUCUCCACUCAGUGUUUUCUUUUUGUAAUAUACUAGUAUCAUGCAUUCCCCCCUCAUAAUGUGUAUAAAGUACAAGUGUAGUAUGGUUUGAUUUCUCCCUGAAACUUGUAAAAAGCCAUUGUGGCAACCUAUACUCAAUGAAGAGUUUUCUCAUAAUUGU